UACGUAGGUGGCAAGCGUUAUCCGGAAUUAUUGGGCGUAAAGAGCGCGCAGGUGGUUGAUUAAGUCUGAUGUGAAAGCCCACGGCUUAACCGUGGAGGUUCAUUGGAAACUGGUCGACUUGAGUGCAGAAGAGGGAAGUGGAAUUCCAUGUGUAGCGGUGAAAUGCGUAGAGAUAUGGAGGAACACCAGUGGCGAAGGCGGCUUCCUGGUCUGUAACUGACACUGAGGCGCGAAAGCGUGGGGAGCAAACAGGAUUAGAUACCCCU
rnacentral:rRNA from 1 species